AUGGACAAGGAUCCUUUGGCAGCCUCCUUGCUAUUCCUGUGGCUUCAUCUUACUGUGAGCAGCAUGUCGAACGUGGAACAGAAACCUUGGUCCCUGCAAGUUCAGGAGGGAGAGAGCACCAAUUUCACCUGCAGCUUCCCUUCCAGUUCUUUCUAUAGCUUGAGUUGGUACAGAUGGAAACCUGCAAACCCCCCCAAGUUCCUGUUUGGCAUGAGUUUAAAUGGAGAUGAAAAACAGGAAGGACGAGUAAGCGCCACUCUUAACACUAAGGAGGGUCACAGCUACUUGUACAUCAAAGGAUCCCAGCCUGAAGACUCAGCCACGUACCUCUGUGCCAUGACACAGUGCUCCCCAGGCACCUGCAGUCAGCACCCAAACCCUGGCCAGGCGCUGCUGCGGAACACAGCGUCAACAAAGAGACGUGUGUGA